rnacentral:rRNA from 1 species
UCCGGUUGAUCCUGCCGGACCCGACUGCUAUCGGGGUGAGACUAAGCCAUGCGAGUCGUGCGUCCCCGGGCACGCGGGGACGCGGCGCACGGCUCAGUAACACGUAGCUAACCUGCCCUGAGGAGGGGGACAACCCCGGGAAACUGGGGCUAAUCCCCCAUAGGCCUGGAUUCCUGGAAUGGGUCCAGGCUCAAAUGGACCCGCGCGCAUCCCGCGCGGGCCCGCCUCAGGAUGGGGCUGCGGCCCAUCAGGUAGUUGGCGGGGUAAAGGCCCACCAAGCCGAUAACGGGUACGGGCUCUGGAAGGAGGAGCCCGGAGAUGGGCACUGAGACAAGGGCCCAGGUCCUACGGGGCGCAGCAGGCGCGAAACCUCCGCAAUGCGGGAAACCGCGACGGGGUUACCCCGAGUGUCGCCCGCUGAGGGCGACUUUUCCGGGGUCUAAAAAGCCCCGGGAAUAAGGGGAGGGCAAGUCUGGUGUCAGCCGCCGCGGUAAUACCAGCUCCCCGAGUGGUCGGGACGUUUAUUGGGCCUAAAGCGCCCGUAGCCGGCCCGGUGUGUCCCCCGUUAAAUCCGCCGGCUCAACCGGCGGGCCGCGGGGGAUACUAUCGGGCUAGGGGGCGGGAGAGGUCGGGGGUACUCCCGGGGUAGGGGUAAAAUCCUCUGAUCCCGGGAAGACCACCGGUGGCGAAGGCGCCCGGCCAGAACGCGCCCGACGGUGAGGGGCGAAAGCUGGGGGAGCGAACCGGAUUAGAUACCCGGGUAGUCCCAGCUGUAAACGAUGCGGGCUAGGUGCUGGAGGGGCUACGGGCCCCUCCAGUGCCGCAGGGAAGCCGUUAAGCCCGCCGCCUGGGGAGUACGGCCGCAAGGCUGAAACUUAAAGGAAUUGGCGGGGGGGCACACAAGGGGUGAAGCCUGCGGUUCAAUUGGAGUCAACGCCCGGAACCUUACCAGGGGUGACAGCAGGAUGAAGGUCAGGUUAAAGGCCUUACCUGACGCGCUGAGAGGAGGUGCAUGGCCGUCGCCGGCUCGUGCCGUGAGGUGUCCUGUUAAGUCAGGAAACGGUGGGACUCCCCG